AGGAGAGUUUGAUCCUGGCUCAGGACGAACGCUGGCGGCGCGCCUAACACAUGCAAGUCGAACGGAGCUUUUCUUGACAGCGACUUCGGUCAACGGAGGGGAAAGCUUAGUGGCGAACGGGUGAGUAACGCGUGAGUAACCUGCCUCGUAGAGGGGGACAACAGUUGGAAACGACUGCUAAUACCGCAUAAGCCCACACUGCCGCAUGGCAGAGUGAGAAAAGGAGAAAUCCGCUAUGAGAUGGACUCGCGUCUGAUUAGCCAGUUGGCGGGGUAACGGCCCACCAAAGCGACGAUCAGUAGCCGGACUGAGAGGUUGAUCGGCCACAUUGGGACUGAGACACGGCCCAGACUCCUACGGGAGGCAGCAGUGGGGAAUAUUGCACAAUGGGGGGAACCCUGAUGCAGCGACGCCGCGUGGAGGAAGAAGGUAUUCGUAUUGUAAACUCCUGUCGUGUGGGACGAAGAAUGACGGUACCACACAAGAAAGCACCGGCUAACUACGUGCCAGCAGCCGCGGUAAAACGUAGGGUGCGAGCGUUGUCCGGAAUUACUGGGUGUAAAGGGAGCGCAGGCGGUCAUUUAAGUUGGGUGUCAAAACUACGGGCUCAACCCGUACUCGCACUCAAAACUGAGUGACUUGAGUGAAGUAGAGGUAGGCGGAAUUUCCGGUGUAGCGGUGGAAUGCGUAGAUAUCGGAAGGAACACCAGUGGCGAAGGCGGCCUACUGGGCUUUAACUGACGCUGAGGCUCGAAAGCAUGGGUAGCAAACAGGAUUAAAAACCCUGGUAGUCCCU
rnacentral:rRNA from 1 species